rnacentral:rRNA from 1 species
CAACUUUUAACGGUGGAUCUUUUGGCUCGUGCAUCGAUGAAGAACGCAGCCAGAUGCGAUAAGUAAUGUGAAUUGCAGAAUACAGUGAAUUGUCGAAUCUUUGAACGCAAAUGGCGCUCCCUGGUCUUCCAGGGAGCAUGUCUGUCUGAGUGUCGUUU